GGCUCAGGAUGAACGCUAGCGGCAGGCUUAACACAUGCAAGUCGAGGGGCAGCAUGAAGGUUAGCAAUAACCUUUGAUGGCGACCGGCGCAAGGGUGCGUAACGCGUGAGCAACUUGCCCGUUUCUGGGGGAUAACCGGUGGAAACGCCGACUAAUACCCCAUAGUAUUGAUUUCAGGCAUCUGUUAUCAAUUAAAGAAUUUCGGAAACGGAUAGGCUCGCGUGACAUUAGCUAGAUGGCGGGGGUAACGGCCCACCAUGGCUACGAUGUCUAGGGGUUCUGAGAGGAAGGUCCCCCACACUGGAACUGAGACACGGUCCAGACUCCUACGGGAGGCAGCAGUGAGGAAUAUUGGUCAAUGGUCUGACGACUGAACCAGCCAUGCCGCGUGAAGGUGACGGCCCUAUGGGUCUUAAACUUCUUUUGUAAGGGAGCAAUAAGUUCUACGUGUAGGAUGAUGAGAGUACCUUACGAAUAAGCAUCGGCUAACUCCGUG
rnacentral:rRNA from 1 species